CAAUCAUAUCACGUUGAAACACAGGUUCACGUAUGCUCACCGAAGUUAAGCAACGUCAAGCAUGGUCAGUACUUAAAUGUGUGUCCGUUUGGAAAUAUCAGGUGUUGUAAG